GUUGUUGUUUUAAUGUUAGUUUUUUAAGUUAGCAAUGAGUCGCAUAAUACACUUUUGAAUUUUGUCGCUGGGGGGCCUACUUUUCAUAUUUCGCCUCAGGGCCCAUUAGAUACAGGACCGGCUCUGGUUACCAAUAUCUUUUAUACUCUAUCACUAUCAAUUUCCACAAAUUCAGCCCAUAUAUUUCCAAUGUACUGGAAUGUUAACUAUGUAUGAACUAUGGGGCUGGUAUAUAAGUGUUAUUAAACUUAGCUGAUUUCCAU
rnacentral:lncRNA from 1 species